UUUAUGGGUUUUGUUUUAAAUUUUUUUCUAAAUCAACUAAUCAAGGUCUAUAAUUCUUGUUUUGCAAACUAAAUCCUAUUUGGUGAAAUUUUUUAUGAAUUUUUUUUAGGGCAAAUCAUUUCAGCCUCCCUAAUCGCCUCCAUCUCUAUUCUCGUUCUCAACUCUGAACUUACCCUUUAUGCUCCAUGGCUGCCUCUAAUCUCUCUCCUGUCACCCCUUCUCAGGUAAACCACUUUCUCUCCUCCCAACCUCUUUCCAGUUACAUAACAUAACAUAAAAACGGGUAUUUCUUCUUCUCUUUAUGAUGUUAGUAAUAUUAAUUGGGUUGUGGUUUUCAGUUGUGUUCGAGUAAGAAUGGCAUGUUCUCACCAUGUCAAGCUCUAAUGGUGAAGUCCACAAGGACUCGUCAUCAAUUGGGCGCUUUAACUGCAAACUAUAAAAAAAUACGAUAUACAAAUAUAUACAUAUAUAUAUAUGGUGAGGGGUAGUAAAGAAAUAUAAAAGGGCAAUUUUGGGAAUAAAGGGUUUAAAAUGGUCAUGUGCCAUGCACAUGACCAACUCACCGGAAUUUUCACCGGAAUUCUCACCGGAGGUGCUUAAUUGCACAUUUUUAUAUCUAGUAUGGAUUUAUAUAAACAAAUCGAACAAAAAGGGUGUAAUUCGCACAAAUUGAAAACCACAGGGGUGUUUUUCAGACUUUCCCCUUAUGUUUUUCUAUUUCCUUAUGGUUUAAUCUAUAUGUUAGGAUGUGAGGCAGUUAAACUACUUUAUAGUACAUAUUUUGGAAUAAUUGCUCCCUAAUUCAAAUUUUCUUUGAACUUGUUGGGAACUGAGUUUAUAUCAUUUUGAAAUUUAAUGGAAUAGACAUCAUGUUACCUGUUAGUAGGGCUUCAAUUUUUUUAGUUGUUUUGAUCAUUUGAGUGGACAUCAAACUAAGAAGUUUCUAGAUUCAUCUCAGUAAUUAUGUUUUUAGUUUCUGCCAGUAACAUGUCAACUAGCUACUGUUUUAUAUAUUUUUUAUAUUUGUAUUGAUACAUCAUUAUAUUUUUUUGCAUUUUGUAGACAUUUUGUAGCAGCUUAAGCAGUCAUAAUUGCUGAGAAUUCUGAAACUAUAUGGCAGCAGUUUAUCUGCUGGGAAAACCCAGAAAUAUAUCCUGGAAGAGCAAUUGAGUCCAAAAAACCCAGAAUCAAUUGAGUCCAAAAAACCUAGGAGAGCAAGCUUGUGGAAAGCUCAUAGUCCAAAAAACAUCUAUCCCGAACCAAUUGAGUCCUCACCCAUUGAGCCCAAAGGUUAUGUUUAUGGUUGGAAACAAGAGUCCAAAUAUGCUGGGUGGCAACGUGUAAGCUGAAAAAGUGUUCUUCUGCAUGAUUAGCUACCUAAGAAAAACACUUAUUCCUAGUAAUAGAAAUAGAAAUAGAAAAUUUUGUAUAUAAUUUAAAUUAUAUAGCAUUGUUUCAUGUAUCUAACUUUGUACUUGGAGGAACCCACUUGAUUUCUAAUGUCCUUCUUAUUUACUUAUAGCAAAAUUAAAUUAAAAAAUUCUAAAAAAACGAAGUCUAAAUAAAAUUAACAAAAAUUUUGUGAAAGCAUCCUCAGGUCCGUACAACACUUUUUAAAAGACUACUGGACCAAACCUUAGACAGUAUGUCCCUCGAUACUUUUGGACCGAGUCUGACCGUAUUUAUCGAGCUUGAUUCUUGAAUUGGUACUUUCAAUCCCAUUUAGAGUCGGUUUGAGGUUGAUUUUUAAUUGCCUAAAAAACGUUUUUAUUUUAAAAAAUUAAAUUACAUAUAGGCCUUUUUGGUAUUUAAUGGUUACCAAUUUUAGUUUACUAGAGAUUUUGAAUGAAGUUAGACUUAUGAACUUUUCAAAUCGCGUUUUGAGUAUAGGUUGUAUAUUUUAGGUAAUUAUUUUUUCUUAGACAAUUUUAUCCUUUUUUUAUUUUUUACAAAGACAAUCUCAGCCAUUCUUUUAUAAAGUUAAAAUUAUAUAUCAAAUAUAGUUAAUUUUGUAUUAAAAGAUAUUAUUGUAAAAUUAGCAAUACAAGUGUUUUAAAAAUAUUAUUACCAAACAAAUUUAAAAAUAAUUUAAUUAUAAAGAGUACAUGUCAUCAAACACCUACUAUAUUUUUCACCAAAUGUAAUUUUUCUACCGCUCCAGUUGUGAAAGCACUUAUUUUUUCUAACUGCAAUGCCAAACGAGUUCUUACACGGGGUUGCGUUGUAUGGUCAAACCAACACAUCCCCAUUCACGCAUGUAUUGUAAUCCAAUGCAGUUUAUUAACCAUUUUUAACCAAUCCUAAACCAUAGGUUAUGUUAAAUAACCGAAUUUUGUACUUUGCAUGUAAUCUUUACACUAAGAUAUUCACGUUAGUCUAACGUGAUACACAUAAACACCCAACUAUAAAUUAAAAGGGAGGUAUAUCUAUUUGCCGGUGAAAACUUGAAUGAUAGGGUGUAUACAAAAUUGAAGAUAAUGCAUUAUAUACUAAAACAGCCUUCAAAAAAAAAAAAAAAUCCAAUUCAUAUUUAUUAAAUAUCUUAUGAUUAAAUCAUGCAUGCAUGGCAACCUUUUUCUUUUAUCAAUUUGACAUGGAACUGGCACACAACCCAAACUUCAUUCCUCGUUAUCAAAGAGAAAAUCAUGUUUUUAAAUAUUGUUGUAUAUAUAUUGUUAAAUUUGCACAUUAUUUUUAACAUAUAGUAGUCAAAUUCACUAGCAUGCUCUAUUAAUAUGUAUUUCUUUGCUCAUAUUAUCAUCUCUGCUUUCACUAACAUGCUUCUAAUGAGAUUCGAAUUAUUUUGAAAAAAAAAUCAUAACAUCCGAAUUAAAAACCUUGAUAAUAUCUUGUAACAACUCUUUCUUUCUUUUAUGAAUAACAGUGUUUUGAGGCACUCAAAAAUCAAAAUCUAGGGCUAAAAACACUCUCUCACACACACUAUUUCCCUCUCUUCAUGUGAUGAGUCUGAAUAUGAAAUGGCAUUGUCCCUUGGUAUUCGAAGCACAUCAUUGUCCUAUUGAGUAACACUUUUCAAUAAAUUUAUAAGUAUUUAGGGACCUCUGGCGAAUGCUAUGAAGAAAAGAAACUCACUGGCAAAGCUACCUAUUUUUGGCUCUCAAACAAUAGAGGCUUCAUUACUCUUAGAAUGUCUCUCUCUCUAGUCUCUCCCAGUCUCUCUCUCUCUCUUAGAAUGUCUCUUUGACUCUUAUCUUCUCUCAUAGAUUACUCUUAUUUCUCUUUUGUAGUCAUUCUCUCUCUAGCUCUCUCUCCUCUCACUUCAUAGCAAGAAUACAGAAUUUUCAUUGAAAUACAUUGUCCUGUAAGUGGAAAAUCAAUGUCAACUCUUUCUCUCUCUACAUAUGUAUGUAUUAGAGCUGAUUUAUCAGCAUGUACUGAACUCUAUUUCUAUCCCUCUUAAAAAUAUAUUUGCCAUAUUUGUGCUGUUAAGGGCUGAAAUUAAUCGAUGCAUGUAGUCGAUUAUGAAGGAUAAGCAGCUAUUGGAUCUCAAAUUAGAACCUAAAGCAGCUAUUGAAGCUCAACUGUGUUUGAUUGGGGCUCAACUGUUGGAGUUCUCAUCAAUGCAUGUGUUCGAUUUGGGCAGAUUGAUUUCCUGUGGGCAAUAAGACAUUUUGUAGCAGCUUAAGCAGUCAUAAUUGCUGAGAAUUCUCAAACUAUAUGGCAGCAGUUUAUCUACUGGAAAAACCCAGAAUUAGCGUGGGAUUUUCUGAAGCCGCUAUUGAAGCUCAACUGUGUUCGGUUAGGGCUCAGCUACUGAAGUUCUUAACAAUGCAUGUGUUCGAUUAGGGCUCAGCUAUUGAAGUUCUUGUGGGGCGAUAAGGCAAGAAUCUUAGCACUGAAUUCAUCAUAUAUCCUUUCUGCAAGUUAAUGAGGAAAUGAUGGUGCAUGUAUAGCAGCGGUAUAAAUAAACCGCUGCAGGAGCCCCUUUAUGCCAGCCUUUCUCUCUUAACUGCUGCCUAAGAGAUAUUGUGACCGCUGCUCAAACUAUUUUAUUAAUUUCCCCCCAGUUACCCGAAGUACUCUUCCGUGAAACUUAUCUUUCCUGCUCUACGCCCGUCUCUCCUCUCUCUCGCACUACACACAAGACUGUUCAAGCCCAAAAAAAUUGAUGGAACAAUCAUCUGUCUCUGAGAAUGCCUCUAUGACUCUAUCUUCUCUCAUAGAUUACUCUUGUUUCUCUCUUCGGUCACCCUCUCUCUAGCUCUCUCUCUUCUCUCACUUCAUAGCAGGAAUACAGAAUUUUCACUGAAAUACGUAGUCCAGUCCUUUAACUGGAAAAUCAAUGUCAACUCUUUCUCUCUCUCUCUCUCUACAUAUAAACAUAUUAUACAUAUAUAAAUAUACGUGUGCUAGUGCUAAUUUAUCAGCAUGUACCAAACUCUCGCUUAAAAAAAUAUUUGCCAUACCUAUGCUGUUAGGACUAAAAUUAAUCAUUGCAUGUAGUCGAUUAUGAAGCAUUAGCACCUAUAGGAACUCAAAUCGGAGUCUAAAGCAGCUAUUGAAGCUCAAUUGUGUUUGAUUGGGGCUCAGCUAUGGAAGUCCUUUCGAUUUGGGCCGACUGAUUUCCUGCGGACAAUAAGACAAGAAUCUUAGCACUGAAUUCAUCACAUAUCCUCACUGCAAGUUAAUGAGGAAAUGAUGGCGGAUGUAUAGUAGCGAUCUAAAUAAAUUGCUGCAAGAGCUUGACUUAUUCUUUUUUUUUCUUUCUCUUUCUUUCGGCAAAUAUACAGGAGUCCCUUUAUGCUAGCCUUUUUCUCUAAUCGCUGCCUAAGAGAUAUUGUGACCGCUGCUCAAACUAUUUUAUUAACUUUCCUCCAAUUACUCAAAGUACUCUUCCGUGAAACUUAUCUUUCCUGCACUAAACCCUUCUCUCUAGUCUCUCCCAGUCUCUAUCUAUCUCUUAGAAUGUCUCUCUGACUCUAUCUUCUCUCAUAGAUUAUUCUUAUUUCUCUUUUGUAGUCAUUCUCUCUCUGGCUCUCUCUCCUCUCUCUUCAUAGCCAGAAUACAGAAUUUUCAUUGAAAUACAUAGUCCUGUAAGUGGAAAAUCAAUGUCAACCCUUUCUUUCUCUCUCUACAUAUGUGUGUAUUUGAGCUGAUUUAUCAGCAUGUAAUGAACUCUUUUUCCAUCCCUCUUAAAAAUAUAUUUGCCAUAUUUGUGCUGUUUAGGGCUAAAAUUAAUUGAUUAUCAAAAAAGGGCUGAAAGUAAUCUAUGCAUGUAGUCGAUUAUCAAGGAUAAGCAGCUAUUGGAGCUCAAAUCGGAAUCCAAAGCAGCUAUUGAACCUCAACUGUGUUUGAUUGGGGCUCAACCUGUUGGAGUUCUCAUCAAUGCAUGUGUUCGAUUUGGGCAGACUGAUUUCCUGCGGGCAAUAAGACAUUUUGUAGCAGCUUAAGCAGUCAUAAUUCUGAGAAUUCUCAAACUACAUGGCAACAGUUUAUCUGCUGGAAAAACUCAGAAUUAGCGUGGGAUUUUCUAAAGCUGCUAUUGAAGCUCAACUGUUUUCGGUUAGGGCUCAGCUAUUGUGGGGCGAUAAGGGGUGGGAAAAUUUGGUGAGAUUUGCCUCAAUAUUUUAGGCAAACUGCUAAGAUUCAACUAUGAUAAGUCAAUUUUUGCUCGGGAAGUGAAGAAGCUGCAGGCCGAGCAGUUUCAAGCCUAUUGAACCAUGUUGUGUUGUUGGAGCCUACUGUGUGCCGAAGUAACAAAACUUGCUACAUAGCCAAUUUGCGCUUCCUUGCCUUGGUAUUAGAGUGGAUUUUAAUUCGUGAAUUAAGAGGGAGAUGUCCUUCAUCUUACUGAAGUAAUAAUAGGAUAAUAGUCCUUUUAAUUCGUGAAUUUUAAUUCAUGCUUGCUUGAGCAUAUAAACAUGUAUAUUGUAUAAAAAAAUGUGUAUUAGAGCUGAUCUGAUUUAGCAGCAUGUACAAACCUCCUCUUUUAUUUUUCCUUAAUUGUACAAACCUCUCUUUCCAUCUCCCAAUGAAACAUAUUUUCCUUA